CUCGGUAUCUAAUCCGUUCCCUUGGGAACAGGACGUCACACAGGGUGAGAAUCCCGUGCGAUGAGAUGCCCAAUUCCAUGUAAAGUGCUUUCGAAGAGUCCAGUUGUUUGGGAAUGCAGCUCUAAGUGGGUGGUAAAUUCCAUCUAAAGCUAAAUAUUGGCGAGAGACCGAUAGCGAACAAGUACAGUGAUGGAAAGAUGAAAAGAACUUUGAAAAGAGAGUGAAAAAGUACGUGAAAUUGUUGAAAGGGAAGGGCUUGAGAUCAGACUUGGUAUUUUGCGUUCCCUUCCUUUUUGGUUGGGUUCCUCGCAGUUUACUGGGCCACCAUCGGUUUGGAUGGUAGGAUAAUGACAUUGGAAUGUAGCUUUACUUCGGUGAAGUGUUAUAGACUUUGUUGAUACUGCCUAUCUAGACCGAGGACUGCGUCUUUGACUAGGAUGCUGGCGUAAUGAUCUUAAGCCGCCCGUCUUGAAACC
rnacentral:rRNA from 1 species